rnacentral:rRNA from 1 species
AGAGUUUGAUCAUGGCUCAGGAUGAACGCUGGCGGCGUGCCUAAUACAUGCAAGUCGAGCGAACUGAUUAGAAGCUUGCUUCUAUGACGUUAGCGGCGGACGGGUGAGUAACACGUGGGCAACCUGCCUGUAAGACUGGGAUAACUUCGGGAAACCGAAGCUAAUACCGGAUAGGAUCUUCUCCUUCAUGGGAGAUGAUUGAAAGAUGGUUUCGGCUAUCACUUACAGAUGGGCCCGCGGUGCAUUAGCUAGUUGGUGAGGUAACGGCUCACCAAGGCAACGAUGCAUAGCCGACCUGAGAGGGUGAUCGGCCACACUGGGACUGAGACACGGCCCAGACUCCUACGGGAGGCAGCAGUAGGGAAUCUUCCGCAAUGGACGAAAGUCUGACGGAGCAACGCCGCGUGAGUGAUGAAGGCUUUCGGGUCGUAAAACUCUGUUGUUAGGGAAGAACAAGUACGAGAGUAACUGCUCGUACCUUGACGGUACCUAACCAGAAAGCCACGGCUAACUACGUGCCAGCAGCCGCGGUAAUACGUAGGUGGCAAGCGUUAUCCGGAAUUAUUGGGCGUAAAGCGCGCGCAGGCGGUUUCAUAAGUCUGAUGUGAAAGCCCACGGCUCAACCGUGGAGGGUCAUUGGAA